GCCCUGGUAGCUCAGUGGUUAAGCUGUUGGACUACGGAUUGGAAGGUUAUGAGUUCAAACCUCACCACUGACU